rnacentral:rRNA from 1 species
AAUCAACGCUGGCGGCGUGCCUCAGACAUGCAAGUCGAACGAUUAAACUUUCCUUCGGGAAAGAUAUAAAGUGGCGCACGGGUGAGUAACACGUAGGUAAUGUACCUUUGGGUGGGGAAUAACCAUCGGAAACGAUGGCUAAUACCGCAUAAUGCAGCGGCAUCGCAAGAUGACAGUUGUUAAAGAUUUAUCGCCUAAAGAGCAGCCUGCGGCAGAUUAGGUAGNGGUAAGGUAAUGGCUUACCAAGCCUGCGAUCUGUAACCGACCUGAGAGGGUGGUCGGUCACACUGACACUGAAUAACGGGUCAGACUCCUACGGGAGGCAGCAGUCGGGAAUUUGGGCAAUGGGCGAAAGCCUGACCCAGCAACGCCGCGUGAAGGACGAAGUCUUUCGGG